rnacentral:rRNA from 1 species
CCUACGGGAGGCUGCAGUGGGGAAUAUUGGACAAUGGGGGCAACCCUGAUCCAGCCGUGCCGCGUGUGUGAAGAAGGCCCUCGGGUUGUAAAGCACUUUCAGUGAGGAAGAACGCCUGGUGGUUAAUACCCAUCAGGAAAGACAUCACUCACAGAAGAAGCACCGGCUAACUCCGUGCCAGCAGCCGCGGUAAUACGGAGGGUGCGAGCGUUAAUCGGAAUUACUGGGCGUAAAGCGCGCGUAGGUGGCUUGAUAAGCCGGUUGUGAAAGCCCCGGGCUCAACCUGGGAACGGCAUCCGGAACUGUCAAGCUAGAGUGCAGGAGAGGAAGGUAGAAUUCCCGGUGUAGCGGUGAAAUGCGUAGAGAUCGGGAGGAAUACCAGUGGCGAAGGCGGCCUUCUGGACUGACACUGACACUGAGGUGCGAAAGCGUGGGUAGCAAACAGGAUUAGAUACCCCAGUAGUC